rnacentral:lncRNA from 11 species
AGCCGCCGUUGGAACAAGGAAGUUGCUGUCGCAGUGGAUGAUGAAGCAGCUGCUCCCGCUGUGGCCGGAAUCAAGCAUACCCUCAGGAAGCUGGAAGCUGGAGAAGUAUCCUAACCCCGGGGCAAGAAAGAGGAAGACAAUGAGGGAAGGUGAGCGGAAGCAUUCACAGUGAAAGCGGGAGACAACGUCUCCGAUGGCAUCAUCACAGUCUGACAGGACGGUGUAAUUUUAAAUCACUGUCCUCAGCAAGUCCGCAUCAAAGCUGCUGAGAUACAGUUUCAUCGGUUUCAUCAUCAGCUGCCCUUUUAGACAACUAGUCUUCUUUUCGAUGGGAGACAAAGGGGACCUGUGCUUUUAAAGUCUAAAAGGUCUGUGCUGUACCAUUCACUGCUUAUAGAAAGC